GGAUAAAAAGAACUCAAAAGAUGUAUACAGCUUGGUGUUAUUGACAUUUCAAGGAAGAGAAUGAGAUUCAUUAUAAUUUGCAAAUACAUGUGAUCCAGGAGAAAGAAUAUACUUUUCAGGCUUAACAUCUAUCUCCCAAGGCAAUAUGCUGAACAGAGUGCAAGAAAGGCAAAUGUGCAUCUGUGAGGAAAUGAUAUUGGAAAAAUUCAGUUAAUGCUUCAUGCAGGGAGCCCGAU